UGGUCUACACGGUGAGUUCCAGACCAGCCAAGGGCUCCCUAAUGAGACUCUUGUCUCAAAACAAACAAAAGCCUCCUUCUUGUAUUGCCAACAAAUCCUUCACUUAACCGCACCCCACUUUUUUUCUUUUGUCUCCAGGCCUUUAUUAAUCUGCGUGAUUUUCUCUUGGGAGUGGGCUACACAUAAACACAAUUCAGGGUGGGAGGGGACACCUUGGCCCAGGCUCUGGGGUGAUGCCUCCCCUGGGUGACUUGGAAAAAUUUCUGUCAGAUAAGGCUACUUACUGGUCCUGCUGUCGUCCAGAUGUCUGGACCCGUAUUGGGGUCGCAAUGCUGAGUAGGCAGUAAAGCUUCAAAAUUACCCACAGGAUUGAAAUGGAAGCUGUUUACAGUCCACUCCCAGCAUCCAGAGUGCCCUACCUGCCAAGCCUGGUUCUAGGGCCCUGGCGUCAGUGGCUCACUUGGUUCUGGAGACAUAAGCUGCGGUUCCUCUCUUACCAGAAGGUAGAGUCAGGAACACACGCACGCACGCACACACAUCCUAUGGAUGGAGUCACAGCCUUAACGUUCAAACCCAGGAGGUCUGCCCAGCUCAGGAGGUAGUCCCUGAGUCCUGUCUCAGGCAUUUCUGUCAGAUAGUGGUAUAGUAGGACUGGGAAACGACCUUUCUGCAAUGUCAUUCCUCUCCCAGGGGAUACAGGGAGACCAGAAAGCCCCAGUGACCCCCAAGGGUGAAGAUUCCUUUUGGCCUUCCCUUAAUGAUCCUUGGGCUGGGGUAUGUGCUUAAACAUACAGUGGAAUCUUCUGGAAUGUUCUGGAAGCUCCAGUCAGGAAUGAUGAAGGGCCUUCAGAUCAGAAUUUCAGAGGAGAAUCCUGGGACAGUGCAAAGCCCUGGCCUGAAGUGUAAGUCUCACUGGCCUAGCUGCCUGCCCCUAGGAGUCACUGCAGUCCCACUAGUCCCAGGUCACUGGUCCUUGUUGUCUUAGCUUAGCACUGGCUACCUACCCAUCCCUGUCUCUGCUAUUCCACGCCCUUUUGGCACGCAGUUCAGGCUGGCUUUGAACUCAGAUCACAUUGCCUUAGCUUCCUGAACGAUGGGGGUUACAGAUAUGCUAGCAUAGCUGGCACCACCCAAGCUUUGGGGUUCUCUCCUUUUGCCCAGUAGUGUGACUUUGAGGAAGAGCAGGUGCUCUGUCCCAGCUCCCCAUAAGGUGCCUUGCUGGAGAUCACCCCUUUUGACCUCUGAUUCACCUUUCACCCCAGGGUGAAGUUUUUCCAGGUGCUAGGUGCAGGUGGACACAGGUGUAUCUGGUGAGGGUUUGUGAAUUGAGAUCUGGGUGCCAGAGGAUUGGGGGUUGGGCCAGUCCUCCGCACUUCCUGGCUGCUACGAGGGGGCAGCUGGCUUAUCCUCUUGAGACCUCAAUUUCCUGCCAAUGUAGAGCUACGUGAGAUGACACAGAGGAAGCAUCAGUGUCCCCUACAUGCAGAGCCUUAUGAAGAUGUUUGAAACUAGGGCCCAGCGAGGCAUCUGGCACUCAGAAUGACCAUUCAUCCUAUGUGACAGAGUUUCCCUCCUACCUGCUGGCCUUGGGGGACACCUGAAGGACUUCUCAGUGGUCUUGCCUGGGCUGUGUCCACCCACCAGGCCAGCACCCUUCAAGUUGAAUUCCAAGCAAUGUCUGAGGAGCUUCAGAGUUUAUGUCUGACCAAGUCACAGCUAAUCCCUGUGCUGGCGUUUGGGUGCUCUGGAGUCAGAGGUGCAGACUUAGGCCCAGCGCUGCAGGGAAACAGAAGCCUCUCACUAGCACCACUGCGGUGACGAGUAGGACCAGAGUCCCCGAGUCAACCCCUCUGGUACAUGACACACUCUGGAGACAACGAUGGGCACUGCUCAACAGACCUUUCCUAACUGGGAGACAGUGGCUAGCGCUCUCUGGAUUCCUUCAGUCACCAACUUCUCUCUCUCCUUUCAUUCCUGCUCCCAAGUCUGUUUUUCACAAAGCAGCCAGAGUGUGAAUCUAAGUUGAUAUGUUUUAUUAAAAUAUUUUUGAAGUAGCAUCUCAUGUACCCUGAGCAGGUCUGAAAUUCACAUGUAGUUGAAGAUAACUUUGAACUUCAGAUCUUUCUGCCUCCUUUGUGCUGGGACAACAAACAUGUGGUGUUUAGAACAGAACCCAGGGCUUCAUGCAUGCUAGGUAGGCAUGCUGCCAAAUGAGUACAUCCCACCCUGUUACAAUACAGCUCAACCGAGUCCUUCUACCCUCACUCCUGUAGUUUCCCAGCAUUUCUGAAGCUUGAAACCCACGUCCCUGCCAUCACCCAAAGGGUUCGAUGAGGUGGCCCCUGGCUGUCCCUCAACCUCAGGUUCUACUGGUGUAGACUGCCGUGCAGUCCUCGGGAGGGUCUCCACAUGAUGGUGAAGAGAGAAGAACGGGUUACCAUGGAGACCAGCUCCUGAUGAGGGCAUGAGGGCCCAGCUGGGGGUGGGAGUGGACAUGGAUGGGUGCUUCCUGCUUCUACUUGACCACGCCCAUUUUCCCUUUCCUGAGACUCCGGCUCCAGCAAUCCUUUCCAGCUCACCUAUUUGGAGAUUCUAGGAGCCACAUAACUGGCUCCGUUAAACAUUACUUUCAAAGUGCCAACAGCUUGUUGGAAAGAUGGUCUGCCAGUCAGCACAGAACUUCAGCCUAGAUUGGUUCAUACCCGGCAACUGCUCCUCCCUUCUGAAAGUGUACAAGUCAGCAUCCAGCUGCCUAUGCACAGGCUUUCUGGCAGCCAGAGACACCAGUGGCCCUGGUACUACCAUUUCUUCCUGGGUAAAGUGGCAGGUUCCUCCCACUAGGCUCUUUCCUACUUGAUGGCUCACUUAUUUAUUUUUGGAGCUGGCAGUUCAACCUAGGGGUGCAUGUGUGCUAAGAGCAUGCUCUAUACUCGCAGCCUGGUUCCUUCCUAUUUAGCCGGCUGGUCACUGGCCAGUGGCUCCUGGAGCUGGCUAAGCAUCAGAGCUACCAAGGAUCUCUUGGACAGCUUCUGGCCCUCUGGGAGACAAUAACACCAUUGGCCACUCAUCUGUUUCCCAGACACUGCAUUCAUUGGGCUUUCUGCUGUCUGUUCUGCCCUUUGAUUUCUAUCCUUAAGGGUCCCUCUUCCUUCUCCCAUGCAGGAGAACCCUGGCUUUCAGCCUACUCUGUCCCUGUCCACUGAACUUCAGCCACUACCUAUGUGUUGAAAGCUUCUAGACUGAUGUAACACAUGGACACGACAAGAUGCAGCUGGUGGAUGACACUGAAGACACUGUGGAGGCGCCUGGCAGGCCUGUUUGUACCCUUUUCUCCAAGCUCCACUUCCGUACACAGCAGGUGUACCUAGUUCUGACAGGUCCCCAAGGCACUUCAGGGUCACUGAGAGCAACUGGCUAACAAGGAACUUUUCAUAAAGCUAAGAUCCACUGAACCUUGUGGUACUGAAGGCAUUAAAUUAUGCCUGUCUAUCUGCCCCUCCUCCUGUUCUAGGACACCUCUGGCAUGUGUACUUACUCCCAAGUACUCUGUGGUUAGAAGCUUCUCGCCUGAGAGUUCUCCAAGCUGGGGCUGGAUCAGUUCAUCUUUGUCCAAGUCAGCCUCCAUGAUGUCAUGAUCCUCCUGUUUCAAAGAAGACAGGGGUGAGAAUUUGACACCCACUCAGCUACAAUCUCCCCAGAGUGAGCAGGCACCUGCUGUAAAGUAAGGAAGUGGAGAAUCCAUGUCUGUCCAACCCAGAAAACAGAUUCUCGUCACAGCUGUGAGCUAAGCCCAGGCCUAGAUCCAUUCUUCACGGCAAGGGCAGGUACAGGCACCAGAGGACCUGUCAUCCUGAAAUUUCACUCGAGUUCCCCAAAGGCAAUGCUAUCCACAAGCCCCUGGCCCGAGGUCACCUCUGGGAGGAGUGAGAUUUAUGCUGUUGCUUGGCUUGGAGCUGAGUUUACUAAGAGAGCAACCCCUCGGGGAUCAAAUAGCAUGUGUACAUUCUGUGAUUGUUUCAGGAAAGUGACUGCUCCUUGGGAACCCAGGCGGCGAGCUCUGCGGUCUGGUGAGUGGCAGGCAUUUGGGCCAGGUAGUAUUUCACCUCCUCUCCAGGGAACGAGCCUUGGAGGCCCCAGCUGGAAAUGGGCAUGUGAAUCACAGUUUCAUGAGGUAUUGGUAACACACCACUUCCCCGCCAAGAGGGAAAAUGAAACACUAAGAAACAACCAAAGUCCACAUUCCAUCUCACAGAGAAAGAAACUCAGUGGCUGACCUCAGUCAAUACCUGCAGAGGUAUUGCGUUACCCGGGACAACAAGAACAUAUGUAAUAUCCAUUCACUUGCAAAUCAACCUAUAAGUACCCCAACUUGCCAACAGUACUCCUGAACUGCAAAUGACUGCAUGACAAGCUAGUAAGAGUCACUUAAAUGUUCAGUCAAUUUUGGUUUUUUAAAUUAACAAGUUAAAAGCUUUUUUUAAAGACUGAAAGUACUUUAAAAACUUGAGAGAGUGUGUGUGUGUGUGGGGGGGAGGGAAUGGGCAUGCAUGCAUGUACACAUCUGUAUGUUUAUGUGAGUGUGGGUGCCUGUGGGAUCUCUUUGAGCUGGAGUUACUUGUGGUUGGGAACUACACUGCCUUGUUUGAGAGCUAGGCAUUCAACUCAGGUACUCUGUAAGAGCAAUCGAUAAGCAUUUUUCCUGAGUCAUCUCUCCAGCCUCCCCUCACCCCUUUAAAGACAAGGCUUCACAUAGCCUAGGUUGGCCUUGAUCCCCCUGCCUCCACAGAGGGAUGUGCAAAGAUCAGAGGUGUCCACCACUGUGCCUGGCUUAUGUGGUGUUGGGGUUUGAACCCAUGGCUUUGCGCACAUUACACAAGAAUUCUACCAAGCAAGCUACAUCCCCAGCCCUGAAAGUGUUUUGUAAUUAGGCUUUGCUAAUUGAUAGGUUCUCCAACCUUCUAGAGCAGGCCAGUUUCUGCAUUUGGUGACUAAUGUACAUACCACAUCAAGGUGAGUUAGCUCAAGUUGCAGCUCAAUGAUAUGAGCAUAAGAGAAAGAACCAGGGGCUCGUGGAUGACUUACAAUGCAGAGAGGUGGCUUUCCGGCUUUCCUGCCUCAGUUUCUCUGCUACAACAUGAAAUCAAAUACUAUCUGUGUUCUUAGGAACCUCAUGUUCAUGCAAAAUGGUCUUGGUUUAGGGGUUUUAAUUCAGGAAGAUGCGAUUCUUCUGGAUGCCUCAGUUUUUUCAUCUAGUAAAUGGAAUCACCUAGCUGCCUCCUGACUUAUAAACUGAGGAUACUUCUUAAGUUCUGCAGAAGAGAUACCAGUCUUUGGCCAGAAAACUUUCUGGAACUAUCAAGGAGAUCCUGGGUACUGCAUAGUAUGUGGGUUGCAAUGUGGAUGGCUGCCACCCUCACGACAUCAUAGAUGACAUCAACAGUGGUGCAGUGGAGUGCCCAGCUAGUUAAGAAGCAACAAGAAAAUAUUUCAAUAAAAAGCUAUCUGAUUAAAAAAAAGGGGGGGUUGGGGAUUUAGCUCAGUGGUAGAGCACUUGCCUAGCAAGCGCAAGGCCCUGGGUUCGGUCCCCAGCUCAGAGGAAAAAAAAAAAAAAGAGGAAAAAACUGGACACCAAGAAAACAACCCAUUUAAAAAAUGGGGUACAGCCAGGCAGUGGUUGUACACACUUUUAAUCGCAGGAUUUGGAGGGCAAAGGCAAACAAAUCUUUGUGAGUUCAAGGCCAGCCUGGUGAGUUUCAGAACACCCACAGCUACACAGAGAAGAAACCCUCUUGAAAAAUGAGAACCAACUGACCAAAUAAAUAAAUAAAUAAAUAAGAUACAGAUCUAAAUAGAGAAUUCUCAAAAGAGAAAACUCAAAUGGCCGAAAAACACUUAAAAGAAGUGUUCAACAUCUUUAGCCAUCAGGGAAAUGCAAAUCAAAACUGAGAUUCCACCUCACACCGGUCAGAAGAGUCAAAAUCAAUGAGUAAAACAAAUGACAUCUCCUGCUGGUGGGGAUGUGGAGUACGGGGCUCUCAUCUACUGCUAGUGGGAAUGCAAUGUGGUAAUUCUUCAGAAAUCUGGGAAGUGAUCUGCCUUGAGCUCCAGCUAUACCCGUUCUGGGCAUAUGCCCAAAGAUCCCUCAUCACCACAGAGGCACCUGCUCAACCAUGGUCAUUGCUGCUCCAGUCAUAAUAGCCAGAAACUGGAAACAAUGCAGAUGUCCCACAACGGAUGAAUAAACAAAAUGUGGUAGAUUUACAUCACAGAACAAUACUUAGUUCCUGAAACAUGAAAUUUGAAGGUAAGUGGCUGGAACUAGAAAAAAAAGAGUCAUUCUGAGUGAGGUAACUCAGAUCCAGAAAGACCAGUUAGGAUCACGACCUGUCAGCCUCCAUGGAGACCCACACCCUGACCGCAUGCAGGGUGGAAGACUUUGGAACACUCGGCCCGAAAAGGGUGUCUGCAUCUCCACCAGACGCUUGUCCUCUGGGCUCAGGGAACCCUGCUCGAUGAGGAGAUGGAAAGAAGGAGUGUGAGAACCGGAGGGGACGGAGGAGGCCAAAGAAAUAAGGCUCUCUAGACACAACAGGGUGGACGCACACGUGAGGUGGCAGAGACCUGGGCGCCAUGCAUGGGACUGACCAGGUAGAUCCUGGAACUGAAAUGAGAAAUGGACACAUGCCCCGAUCCCUAACUCAGAAGCUAUCUCCAGUAGACAGCCAUAAAAAUGCGUGUUCUCCAAGGGAGUCUCAGUGGAAAAACACCAAGGCUCUUAAGGGCGGGUCCCAUGUCCAACACAAACGAACUCAGUGGUUCUUUGUGUCAGUGUUAGGUCAGACGCUAAUGUCUGGCACAUUUUUGUUGUUGUGUCUAACCUUACAGGGCCCCUGCACAGACGUCAUGGCUCUGGUUUUGCGGUUUAUGGCGUGCGUGUCUCUGUCUCUGCAUCUAUGUUCUUCCUUCAGCUUGCCUCCUCGUCUGGCUGUGUUGUUCCAUUCUGAUUUGUUUGUUUUGGUUAAAUUUCAUUUCAUUUUACUAUUAUUUCUUAGGCACCUAUCCUCUAUGGAGAGGCAGAUGGGGUGGAUCUCGAAUGGGAAUGGCAGUGGAAAGGAGCUGGGGAGAACAAAGGGAGGGAAAUAUAAUUUCCCAUUAACAGGCAAACGAACCCAGAGCUGACCACAGUUCCGGCAUGUUCUAGAAGCUAGUGCUGGCAGAGGAGCCUGAGUCUGCAGGCUACAGAGGAACCUAUCACAUGCUCGAAGACCUAGAGCCUGUACAAGACACAGCUUUUGAUGACAGCGGCACUCGUGCCACUUUUUUUUUUUUUUGAGUGUCAAGUGCAUGGAAACGAACUGGAAUAUGGACUUUAUGCACCAGGCACGUAAGGUGGUGAGUGCACACACGGCGCUGCCUCUCGCCACGUGCUGCCCACAGUGGUUCAUCAGCAUUUAGAAGGGAAGCGCCGUGCUGGUCCCACUCGAGGGAGGGCAGGCCACACCUCACCUCACAGGGAUAAGGGUUUGACUUUUGAGAUAAGAGUGAGGUGCUCAGGCAAUCAGAAGCCCCAAGUCCCAUGCUUGCUACAUGGGUAUGAGAUUUUUAUACUUGUCAAACAAAACAAAGUCAUAUAUCAAGGCAUUUUUCAAAUACAUGGAAGUGGGUUACAGCGACUCUGCUGUAGGUCCCAGACAUUCUGACGACGUUCUUAUCUUGGGGCUGAUGGGAGCUACAGCUCCAAAAGGAUUUCGCUGUUAGGUUUGAUGUUAUAGUCGACACACACAUGGGCACUGAAUAGGUAGGAAGGAGGCUAAAGACGCAGAUCAUUGUGCUCUAGAUCUGCAACAUUCCAACUCUUCACAACCACAAAAGUCUAAUCAGUUAAUCAACCUUGUAAAACCUUUAACCCAGCUGCGGCUUCUUCCUGGGAACUUGAGCUCAUAGCUAGAUGCAUCCAUGCGGAUUGGUUACCUGGUGAGCUUCUCUGAGCGACUCAUGAAAGGCACAAGAAAAGAGAGAAUGCUCGAAAAUCCACUUUGGGAAAGAAGGGCGCACUGAAUAAGGAAAUGCUUGGAGAAUAAAUGCUUCUUUAGGGUGGGUCUUAAAUUCCAUUGUUGGAGGAAUUUUACUAAAAUUACUGCCUUUAUAUUCUGGAGGAGAAUUUAUCAGGUUACGGGAGCACAGUGAUAACAAUUAACUCCAAGAAUUAAGAAUACCUUAAAAAAAAAAAAAAGCCCUUGAGCUGAGAUGAAUUUAGAUGCUCUAAGAGGAGGCUUCCCCAUAGCCGUCCAUGAUCUUAUGACACUACAAGAUUCUUAACUGGAGGCUUUAGAUACAUAAUACUCCAGACAAACCAGAUUCUAAGCCUGGAAACAGAACGAAGGUUGACCGCUCAAUGCAUUUGAAAACUCAGAUUCUUCCAGAUAGAGUGCAGGCCACAGAAUGGACCCAAGUGGUUUCCCGUAAGACAAGCGAGAGUCUCUAGUGUGCUGGCUGUUUGAAAGAAUUAGAGUUUGACGAGCGUCUGAACCUGAGACAGCUUUUCUGCAGGCUGAGCUGUAAACACCACUCUUUGCAAACGCACAGCAAAGCCCUCCACAUGGGAGAGUUUGCCGGGUGACCAAGGUGACCAGGCUCUGCGCUGGGAUCGGCAGGUGACCCAAUGCAAAGGGCCCUGCCUCCAUUUGUAGUAGCUUUCUUCUGAGCCUGUGUCCACGCCUGGGCUGUAAGCGGGCUCUGAAUCCUUAAGGGCUUAUGGUGGUGCGGUUGCUACGUCAGUUUCCUCAUUUACAAAAAUGUUUUCAGCUUCAGGAGGGCCAGAGUGAUAACUGGACCAGUUUAGUAACAAGUAGAAACCUCAUGUUUCUGAUGUCAAGUCUGCUUCAGGUGCUUGAAUUGCUCAUCCUCCCCACCCCACACUGAAUUCUAAACAAAAAAUGGCAAGAAAUAUGGAGGUGCUGUUAAUGAUGCUAUAGCAGAACUGAGACCUAGCAAUGUAUAGUAAUAUACAGAACCGGGGGUGACUUGGAAGCUUGCAGGGACCAGAAGUGACUAAAAGGUCAGAGGGCAAGGAACUUGCCUUGGAACAGCUCUGUGUAAUCCACACAAGGUGCAGACUGGAGUGUAAGGGCAGCACCAUCAAUCUCAGCUCCUCAAACAGAAAGACAAGGCCUCCCCCAAGCAGGGAGAAAUCACUUCCUUGUUAGUCAGAAGUUCUUUACAGACUUCCUGUAAGUACUUAUAUAUUUUCCUGCAAAAAGCAGAUUGUGGAGAAUAGGCAAUGUGACUCCCCUCCCUAGAUGGCUAUUAGAUUCUCCCUUGUGCCAGAUCAUUUAGAGAGCUAGGCAGACUUUACUUAUGCCAGUGCUGUUGUCAGGGUCAUUCCUCACAUUCCCCAAGAAACUACAGGAUGGUCAGAGGGAACUGCCCAGCUCCUGGAGGCAUGGCCUUAGCUAGUGCUGUUCCAGACAGCUUGUACUAGAGCAGUGGCUCUCAACCUUCCUAAUGCUGCGACCCUUUAAUAGUUCCUCAUACUGUGACCCUCAACCGUAAGAUUAUUUUCAUUGCUUCUUCUCCAUAAAUGGAAUUUUGCUGUUAUCAAUCAUGACAUAAAUAUCUGAUAUGUGACCCCUAUGAAAGCACUGUUCCACCCCUACCAUGGUACUAGACUUUCUGCUAUACCAAGCCCCAAGGACUUCCAGAAGACCCUGCACUUAUUUUCACCCAGCCCAGAGGGGAACACUUCCUUUCAUGGCCAAGCACAAGGUGCUGAAUACAAGCUCUGGUCAGGCUGCUAAGGCUCCCUUAGUGUGCUGCUGGGACAUAGUCCUGUGCUGUCUCCUCUGGCAUUGCAACAUUGGGCUUAGUGACAGGCUUUUGUAGUCAAGGAAAACAGCAAACAGGGCACAGCAUGGUGCUGGUGGCUGAGGGGUCAGCAGGCUGAGCUGUGAAGGGGAAGCAGCUGCAGAGUCAGGAGUCCAGGACAGAAGAUAGCAUACGAGAAAUGACCAGAGAGGGCCGAGAGCUGAAAUGGAACAGUAGAGGCUAAGAAGCCAGGGAGAGAAACUGCAGGCCCUGGCUACUGGAGAAGCCGCAGGUGGCUGGCUGUCACAUCUUCAGGCCAAGGUUCUUUAGACCCCAGGUCAAGAGCCUCAUCACUGGCAGGUUAAGGGUAAAGAGACCCCAGCUUCCUUGACCCAUACAGAAGCUCUAACACUGGCUAUGUCUGACCUGAGACUGCAAAAGAGCUAACAACAAGAAGAGCUAUGGAUCCCGAUACCAGAGCCCUGCCCCUCCCACUGGCCUGCAGCCUGCUGACCAGCACUAAGGGAAACCAGAGGUUCAAGACCAGCACUUGAAGCUUCUCCUUGCCUAGCUGUAAUUCCUUUCUUUCCUUGCACUGAGUCCCAAGACAGAACUCAGUUUGUUAGCUUUGGCAGCAAGCACUUUUACCCACUGAGCCAUCUUGCCAGCCCUUCAACUGCAGGGGAGAUGGUUCAGUGAUCAAGAGCACUGGCUGUUCUUUCAGGACCCAGGUUCGAUUCCCAGAACCCACAUGGUGGGUCACAGCCAUCUGUCACUCUAGUCCCAGGGGAUAUGACACCCUCUUCUGACUUCUGUGUGCAUUGUACAUGUGGUGUACAGACAUACAUGAAGACAAAAUACACAUAACUAUAAAAACAAAUAAAAGUUAAUUUAAAAAAAAAAUAGAACGUUCCUUCAGUUAAAUAGUAAGUGACCAUACGCCUGCAUGGUCCAUUCCCACUGAGAAGAAGGUCUGUGGUCCAUAUGCACGCAGGCUGGGAAGGCAGAUGGCUGGGAAUCAGACCAGAGUGAAGACAGGCUUAGGCCAGGAUGUGGAAAGAAGAGGAAAUGAAAGGAAAGCUGCAAGCGCCUUCAGAUGGUGAGUCAUGGCCCUUGUCCUGUCUGAAGAUGGUGACAGUGAGGAGAAGAGUCACUGGCUCUUGAGCAUUUCAAGAAGCACAUGGACAGGCAAGCCACUCACAGACUCACAGCUUCACCCUGACAUGGGACACUUGGCAAACUCGGCAUGCACUGGGAAAGCACAGCCCUAGUUUGUGGUAGUAACCGGUCCAUUUAAAGAAACUAACACAGGCAGAGUGGUCAGGGCACAUGCAGGGAGGGCCCCAGAGACCACAAUGUCUGAUGCUGGCUCCACCCAAAGGCAUUCUCAAUCUAGACGUGCAGGGAGGCCACUGAGCUCCUGGUUUCCGUGCUCCUCAGCUCAGCCCCCGGGACAGGAAAGUUUUCGAGGCAGGGUUUCUCUGCUGACCUCAAACUCAGAGAUUCCCGUGCCUCUGCCUCCUGAGUACUGGAAUUAAAGGGAUGUGUCAUCAUCUCCAAGCCAGUAAAUGGAUUUCAGAGUUCAUCAGGCAGUUUUAACUUUCUUUGUAAAUCAGUAAAGUUGAUAUUUUUCCGUUUCCUUCCUCUUUCAGAAUAAACACUGGUUUCCGGGGCUAGAGAGAUGGCUCACCAGUUAAGAGCAUUUGUUGCUCUUGAAGGAACAUGGUUCUAGCAUGCUUUGGUUUCUAGCACCCACAUAACACUCACAACUAUCUGUAAUUGCUGUUCUAGGAGAUCUAAUAAUCUCUCUGGCCACAGGCCCUAGAGAGGCAUUGGGGGAAGAGCGGGGACAGGGGACAUACUACUACUGCCAAAUUGUCUUCUAAGAAUGUCUGUUAGUCCUGUCCUUAACCUUGGCCAGAGAUGCUUCCCUCUGCCGUGGUCAGCAGCUAAUGCAGAGACUCAACGAGUCGAAGCUAUUAGAGUAAGUGACUGUGAAUCCCAAUCCAGACAUGCAACCACCUCCACCGUAACCAAGGUUCAAGAAACAGCUUAGAAGAAAGGGAGAGAAGACUUGUAAGAGACAAGAGCAUGAGGAGGAGGAAGGCUGUGAAAUGUUGUCUUGCAGACACGACACAGCCAUGGUGCUCAUGAGCUCACACAGCUAUGGUAUCUGCACAUGGUCAAGCCAAGGUCGGCCAACGUUCCAUUCUGGCUGGCGGCUUUAACUGGACUCACUGGGUACCCAGAGAGGAGUGGGGAGGGAGGGAAAGACAGACAAGACAGACAGACAAACAUGACGUGGGAAAGGAAGGGGACCUGGAGGUAAGGCAUGAUCACGUUGUUUACAUGCAUGGAAUUUUCUUUUUUUCUUUUCUUUUUUUUUUUUUUUUCGGAGCUGGGGACCAAACCGAGGGCCUAUCACUGAGCUAAAUCCCCAACCCUGGAAUUUUCAAAGAAUAAAUAAAAUUCACUUUAGAAUGAUAAAUAUAGUUUACACACAGACUGGAUGAUUACCCCAAAAUACCUAUGCCAAGGAGAAGAGCCCAUCCACUACUUAUCUAAAAUAUUAGAUAAGAGAGAAAAAGCCAUUUAAAGUAUGGAUUGGCCUUUCCUGGUUUCUAUCGAAAUGAUAUCAGACAUAUGAAAAUGGUCUGCAAAUGCCUAGGAAUCCUGAGGUGUCUUCAGCCCGCAUCUCGCUCGUCUUGAGCCGUCUGAUGUCUAUUUCCAUGGAAACCAGAGUGGAAGCUCGGGCCACAGCCGAGUCGGUGAGUUGGGCAGUUCAUCCCGGCCACGGUCUGGGAGCCCAGGAGCUGUGCUGCAGAAACACGUGUACCUGGAACUUCACAGGAGCCAGGAACGUGCAGAAGCCUUAACUGGGAAGCAAUGGCAUCUUCAUGGACCUGACUGGAUUGUGGCAAAGCCCCGUGAGUAAAAUGGCUAAGUAUUGGGAAGCUGAAAGCAUAGACUACCCCAUACCAAGGCACAGCAGGCGACAAUCAGCGGAGGGGAUUCAUGGAGAAGGUCUAACUGUGGGCUCUUUGGACACCUGUCCUGAAGAAACUUGCAGGUUGUGUGUGGGUGAAGAUGUUGGAGGGGAACUGAGACUAUGAGUCCCCAACUGUCACUGCCCUGAAGUGCAGAUCAGUGGGAGGGGACUAACCAUUCAUUUCCUCUUCUAGCUAGAACAGACAGUGUGCUUCCCAUUUAAAAUUACUCCCCUUGGGGCUGGAGAGGUGGCUUAUUGGUUAAAGGUCCCGGCUGCUCUUCCAGGGGACACAGGUUUCAUUCCCAGCACCUGCAAGAUGGCUAGCAACUAGCCCUGACUCCAGUUCCAGGUGGCCAAUGGUCUCCCUGGGCACUGCAUGCGAGUGCUUGUUGGGUCUCCAGGAAAACUGGCCUCUGAAGUCACACUAGCGUGCUUCCCAAUCCUAAUGGGUCCCGACUUUGUGUGUGCUCUUGGCUGCUGUGCUCCUAGCCACUAGAUCAGGCUGGGCUCCAGCCUUCUCUAAGAAAAUGCUAAGUUCUUCCUUUAACCUUUGAUAAGAGUUAUUUUUGAAAGAUGUGGGAAGCAGAGGCAGGCAGAUUUCUGAGUUCAAGGCCAGCCUGCUCCACAGACUCAGUUCCAGGACAGCCAGGGUUACACAGAGAAACCCUGUCUCGAAAAACAAACUGAAAGCAAAACAACAAAAAAGAUGUGGGUGAAUGUGGAGGAGCUGUGACCAGUUGCCAUGGUGACAACUGUACCAGCUCUGGCAGCAGCAGUAGAGAAUGUGGGGAAAACAGGAGAGGAUCUGGGAGACCAGUGUGGAGGUGAGCAUGGAGCUCUCAGUGGGGCAGGCUGUGUGAGUCACAGGGUAACCAUGUCUGUAUGGCCUCUACUAAAUGCUCUCAUGUCUGCAGCAUUGCAAACCUCGCCCCUCCCUGCUAGCCAGUGCCUAAAGUACCUGGAAACCGAACAACACAGAACACACCCCAGUUCUUUUCUCUAUCCCUGGAAACUACCCAUCUACUGUGCUGUGCUGUUAGUUUUUGUUAACUUGGCCCAAACUUUGAAGUAUUAAGAAAAUGCCUCCAUAUUUUGGCCUGUCUGUAGGCAGGUCUGCAGCCCUUUAGUGACUAAUGAUUGAUAGGGAAGGCCCAGCCUACUGUAGGUAGUACCAACCCUGGGGAGGUGGUCCUGAAGAAGCAGGCUGAGCAAGCCAUGGAGAACAAGCCCUCAGCAGUGAUCCCCCAUGGCUCUGCAUCAGUUCCUGCCUCCAGGUUCCUGCCUUGAGACUUGGAUUGUGGACUACAAGGUAGAAGCGGAAAUAAACCUUUUCCUUUUUAACUUGCUUUUGGUCAUGUUUUAUGAUAGCAACUGAAACCCUAACAAGGGACAGGUGUCAGACCAAUAUACCCUCCCCCGCUUCCCUAGAAUGAAUCGAACAAUCCUAAGUCUGUACCCUAACAAGGGGACAGGUAUCAGACCAAUAUACACCCCCCACCCCCCAGAAUAAAUCAAACAAUCCUAAGUCUGCUUUGCUCAUGGAAUCACAGUCAAGGCUCUUAAGUCUCCUUACUCCCCCUUUGCUUCUUACCCCCUUCUGCAUGGUCCCAUGUGUCAUGGCAUGUCUCUACCUUUUGGGUAACAAGAAGACAAAACGAUUUUUUUUGUUGUUGUUGGUUUUUUUUUUUUUUUUUUUUUGUAGACAGGGUCCCGUGUAGCUAGGGCUAGCAUUACACUCAGUAUGAGCUGGGAUUAUAGCUGUGUACCUCCAUGAGUACCUCCAUGACAGGUCUAUGCAGUGCUGGGACCUUGUGUACACCUGACAGCCACUCUGCAAACAUGUUCUGUCCUCAGCCUACAAAACCACCAUUCAGUAGUGCGUGUCUCCGGAUCUGUAGUUUUACAGAACCUUACAUUUUUCUAUUAGUAUGUGGAAUGUUAAAGCCUUGGCGGCCACAUCCUUAUCAGGGCUUCUCUGUGGUACCUGGGCUUCCUCCUGAACCAAGAGACGAUGGGCCGCAGAAACAGCAGACCACACAAGUGCUUUUGCGCAGCCCAGUAUGGCAGGUUAGAAACAACAGUGAUGAUGGAGAAGAGGGCUAGCAAAUCCCAAGACCUUAAGACACCCAGGGACCAGCUUGCAAGCUUUGCUGCUGGUCAUCCAUUACUGAAGCCUGCGCAUACAAGAAGAUAAUAAAAACCACCCCAGCCUGGCCUUGCUUUGGAUGCUAUCUUGGGGUUGUAUGUUGGUGAAAUAUAUCUAAAGAGGAUAAUGUAAGUUCUUCUCUAAGUGAUGAGACAGAAUGGAUUUAAAAAUAAAGAUCUCAUAGUGCUUUAUUGUCUAGCUUUUCCCAAAUUUCGGUUUACUAUAGGAGAUGGUCAUGACUGAGCUUGCCAAGAUCUCAGGAGGGUCAGCCACAGCCCUACUCAAUGGUCUAUCCUUCCUCCAUGCCAAUGGACCAGGAGGAGAGUCAUAAAAAAGUAGAGGUGAAUUUGCUGUCUUCCCCAACAAGAGGCAACAUUAGAGAUCUUGAGUGCUUGGCUCUCUAGAAGUUUGUGUAAAUGGAAGGCACAAAAUGGUGUUGUGAAAUUAGCAAAGUGUAGAAUUUUCUUAUGUAAUCUCAUCUCUUGUGCCUCCAUAUCUGGCAAGGCCUGAGUGCUGAUGCGGGGCUCUACAUUCCCUAAGAGAAGAGACAACAUGGUGGAUCAUUAGGUCUACCACAAAGAGCUCAGAAUGCAGGACCAAUGGAAGGAGUUGCUUCCCAAGCAAAACCUGAGAGUUCUCAGGAACAGAACUCUAGGGCAGGAGAUAUGAACACCAAGAUCAUCCUAAGCAUCACUUCAGAGGAACUACCAAAGAAGAUGAUGUUUGUAUUCCUUCCAGGGACAAGAUGUUCUAGAGUGCCCCAUGUGUAGAUGUCCCUCCAGGUUAUGGCUGGGACAGGAAGGACUCAAAAGACACAAACUUCUGUUCUGUCUGAACCUGCACUGUCACUAUGCCAGCGUCCUAGACUCAUCUCCCAGGUCCAUGUGGGUAUCUGUCCUUUUCAUUGUCUCCUUGUCUGAGUUUCUUCAUCUUUGGAAGAUGUCAUUUUUAACUCACAAGAAAUUUUGUUUUGUUUUUUGGAGACAGGGUUUUUCUGUGUAGUUUGCUGUUCUCGUACUCAAGAGAUCCUCUUGCCUCUGCUUCCUCAAAAGCUGAGUGCUAGGAUCAAAGCUAUGUGCCACCACCAGAAAUUUUUUUUAUAAGAUGUGUGUGUGUGUGUGUGUGUGUGUGUGUGUGUGUGUGUGUGUGUGUGUGUGUGUGGUUUUCUGUGUGAUUUGUUCUCAUGUGAAUGCCCAAGGAGUUCAGAACAGGGUACUGGGUUAUUGGAACUAGAGGCAGUCAUGAUAACCAAUAGGCCCCUCUCUAGGCUCAGAUCUUAGUCUUCUUUGUUUAAAAUAAUUACUGUUGUGUGUGACGCUUAUGUAUGUUGGUAUACUUACCACAGUGCACAUGUGAAAGUCAGUUCUGUUUUUCUACCUUUCUAUGAAUUCUGGGGAUCAAAACCUAGCGACUAGGCUGUGUGGGGCAAGAGCUUUUAUCUGAUGAGCCAUUUGACAUCCAUCUUUAAAAUUAAUCAGCUAAUAUGGUUGCGUGUAGGCACGCAUGCCACGGUGUACACACGGAGAUGAGAGGACAAUUUUGUAGAGUUCCCUCCUUCCACCCUUUCCAUGUCUUUGGAAGAUUAAAUUCAGGUCAGCAGGUUUGUGAGACAAAUGCCUUGACCCACUGUGCCUUCAUAUGUGUGUGUGUGUAGUCUGUGUUUGUGUAUAUGGUAUGUGUGCGUGUGUGUGCACGUACACACUUGCAUGUUCAUGUGUAUGUGCAUGUAGGGAGGGGGAGUGCAUGCCUUAGCAUGGAGAUCAGAGGACAAGCAUUCAGUUUGUCAGGCUUGUACCAUAAGUGCUUUUACCAGCUGUGCCAUCUUGUCAGCUUGAGGUUUUCUAGGUUCUGUGCAUUUAAUUCUGAUUUAACUUCACUGGGCAAGUUAUAACACUAAUACAAUUAAUUUGGCAAUUAUACUUAAAUGACCCACAUCUGAAUUUACUCGUGUUUGGUUUUGAAGCAAGAUAGAAAUGAGUCAGCAGUGACAUGGUCACGUGGACUGGGUGGGGCUUUAUUUACUGAUUGAUUGAUAGAUUUUGUUUUUGAGACAGGGUUUCUCAGUGUAACCAGGCCUGGCUGUCCUGGACUAGCUCUGUAGGCCAGGCUGGGCUCGAACUCAGAUUAAUUUUUUAAUGGAAAAUAUGGAGCUGGAGAAACUGCUCAGCAGUUAACACUGUUACUCUUGCAGACAACCAGGAAUCAGGGUUCAGUUGCCAGUGUGCCAUCUACACAGUGGCUUACAACCAUCUAGAAUUCCACUCACAGGGGAUCUGAACCCUCUUCUCAACUUCUGGGAUAUCCUGCUGUACAUACCACAUGCAGGCAAAACAUUCAUGCCCAUAAAAUAAAUAAAUCUAAGAAUAAUUUUAAUGGAAAUCAUGAGCAGGAGAGAGAGCUUAGUCCAUCAAGUGCUUACUGCUUAAGUGUGAGGACACAAGCUCAGUCCUCAGAACUCACCAAAGACAGUCGGGUGUCGGGGAACAUGCUCAUAAUCUCUGCUGGGAAUUCGGAGGCAGGGGAAUCCCAAAGGCUCACUGGUCAUCAGCCUAAUCUAAUUAGGUGUGCCCCAGGUCGCAAUGCAAUCUUAUCUUACAUGUGCAUACACACACACCUGCACAUAUACACCUGCACACUUAAUACCCAGGGCACUUGUGCAUACAUAAGUAUAUACAUGUACACAUACACACACAUGCAUACAUCCACACACACACCUACACAUACCAACACAUACAUACCUAUAUACACACCUACACACACAUACCCUCACACCCCCCCACACUCCUAUACACAUUCACACUGAUACCCAUACAUAUCUACACACAUAUACAGGCCCAACACUACAAACCUAUACACAUACACACAUACUACAAACUCCUCUACAUACACAUACACAAUUACACCUACAUACACACCUACAUACACACAUAACCCCACACAUACACACCUGCACACACAUACCCCCCACAUAACUACACACAUCUCCCCACACAUAUAUACCUUUACACAAUCCCCCCCACAUAAUACACUUCUACACACAUCCCCCCAUGUAUACACUUCUACACACACCCCAUACAUACACACCUACACACACAUCCCCCCACAUAUACACCUGUAUACAUAUUCCCACACAUACACACCUGUAUACCCCACACACAUACAACUGUAUACCACCACACACACAUACAAACCGGCACACAUAUCCCCCCCACAUACACACCUGUAUACAUAUUCCCACACAAACACACUACACCCCACACACAGACACCUGUACACACAUACCUCACACAUAUACACCUAUACACACAUACCCCACAUAUACACACCUGUACACACACCCCACACACAUAUACACCUAUACACAUAUCUCCUCCACAUACACACACCUGUACAUACAUCUCCCCACACAUACACACCUGUACACACCCCCCCUCACACACACACACCUGUACACACACUCCUCCACAUACAUACCUACACAUACCUGUACAUACAUCUCCCCACACAUACACACCUGUACACACAUACAUGCCUGUACACACAUCCCUCUUCACAUACACACCUAUACAUACCUGUACACACAUCCCUCUCACAUACACACCUAUACAUACCUGUACGCACAUCCCUCUCACAUACACAUCUAUACACACCUGUACACACAUCUCUUACAUGUCCCUGAAAAUAUGAUGAAAGCUACCUUUCACUAGUUUUCUUUCAUUUAUUAUUUGAGACAGGGUCUCACUGGAUAGCUCUGCAUGGCCUGGCACUCACUGUGUAGGCCAGGCUGGUCUCAAGUUCACAGAGAUCUGCCGGCCUCUGCCUUCUUAGUACUGGAAUUAAAGGUGCAUAUCACCAUAUGUCUGGCCUCUUUCCCAGAUUUCUAUUAUAACUGUAGGUAACAGAAGAUGUUUGAACAGAAUUAUAAUAUCAGUUAAGUUAGAGAAUAAUUUUGAAAACAAUUAUUCAGAAUUUAAAAAGAAAAGGAUCAAAACAAAAUGUGCUGAACUCUUUAAAAGUAAAAAAUUCAAAAUGUAUAUAUUUUGUAACUUUUCAAACUAAACUAGAAAUUUAAGCAUCCCUGAGCCAUCCGAUGGACACACAGAAUCUCUGCACUAUUUUUUCCUGUAAAUCUAAAAUUGCCCAUGCCUGCAAAAGUUUUGAAACUGCACGUACAGAAGACCCUGGCAGCAGACGCACGAGCACCUUGUGUAGCGAACCCCACUGCACUGUGUUGAUGGGGAUCUAUCGGGAAAGGAAACAGGCCGGGACGGCAGCCUCUGAAUCCAGGCAAAGCUGCAAACAGCAGUGGAGCCAACAGUCUGUAGAAAGAUGUAUGCACCGGUUACUCUGAAGAUACCCAGGGUCAACAGUGGCUGACGGGGCAUCUGUGGUCUUCGUCAGGAUCAUUUGUGCUCCUCAACACUUGGCAACAAAACUCAAGUGAAAUAUUUAAAGUUCUGCCUGCAUCUGUUGACGCGCAUGGUGAAUCCUGGAACAACCAGACUUCUGACAUUUGCACAGAAGGUGCAGCAGCAGGGACAGGUGACACCACAGACUGCGGGAGGGAGACAGUGACACACAGGCCUGUCACUACUUUUGUCUGUGACAAACACCUGAGAAAGUGAGGCUAAUGGAGCCAAGCUUUAUUCUGGCUCUGAGGUUUCAUGCCAUGGUCAACUGGCUCCUUUGCUUUCGGCCUAAAGGGUGGCAAUGUCACACCAGGGAGUGCAUGUGGCUCAGGAGAUUCAGGACACACAGAACAGACAAACAGGUGAGGAAGAGGGCACCACGCCCUGGAUAGCAGGUUCUCAGGAGCUAAUUCCCUGUUAGGAGGGGCUUUAUAAAAAAUAUUCUUCAUCAAUGAGCCAAAGAAGAAAUCCUGAAUAAAACUAGAAAACUCUUAGAGACAAAUAAACCAAACUUAUGCAGACGCUGUGCUCAGAGGGAAACAGAGCUGUAACCAUCCAGGUAAAAAGACCCCAAGUCCACCUAACUUUAUACUUUAGGAACCAGAAAAAAGAAAAGUGAGUUAAAAUUAAUGUUAGCAGAAGGAAGGAAAUAAAAACCAGAGAUAGAGAAAAUGAAAAAAAAAAAGAGAGAAAACUAACAAAACAAAAAGACUGGCUCUGAGAACGAUGAACGAGACUAUAAAGCCCUUUGCCUGACACACCAAGAAGAGAGAUGCCUCAUAUUAUAAAUGGGGCAUCACUACAGACCCUACAGAAACAAAAAGGGUCAUAGGAAAUGAUGCAGCAACAGCAUCUUAGCCAAUUAAAAGAAUGACAAUUCAAGAACACCUUUAAGUAAAUACAAAGUUCAGGGCCAGUCUGGGCAUCAUGAGAACCUGUCUAAAAGUAAAAACAAACAAAUGAAUUUGGAGAAAUCUAUUGUAAUUAGCUCCCCUCCCUCACCCCAAGGAAACCAAAGCCAUAUCCUUCACCUAGCAAGCGAGAGCUGUAUAAAUAAAAGCUCCAGCAAAUGAGAUGCCUAUGUUCUCUCAAGCACAGCUUGGAGCAGCCAAGUCUGGACAACUGUGCACCCGGCACACUGAGAAACAUCAGCUUGCUGCACUGCUGACUCAGAAAGAUUUCCAAAGAUAUUAACAAAGGAAAAGGCCACAUUGUACAUAGUAGUGCUCUAUCUGCAAAAUACCGAUUACGGAAACAUCCAGAGAGGACUGUAUGUGUGUGCCUAUGUAUCAAUGAAGCCCACAUACAUAUGGAUAAUAGCUGAGGUGGAGAAUCAAGCAGUCCCCUGUCCCUGCUGAGUGUCCUCCUUCAACCCACUGUACUUCCUCUCCACCCUAGGCUUUUCUCUACCCAGCCUCUGCCUUCCAGGAUUCUAGAACCUCCCCUCCCACCAUAGCACUUCCAUUUCCUUCCCCUUUCCGGACCUGUGAACGCUUGUUAAUUUUCUGCUAUCUCUGCCUAUCCUGAGCCUAGCAGUGUCUGACCAGAGGACCCCAGGGCAUGCUUUGUCACCUCACAGUGACACAGGUAGGAAUCCCAGCUCCACUGCUCACUAGCUUCAUGACCUUGGUGAGUGACCUUUUCCUGUGUCUGACCACAGGGCAGAGCACAGGCAGGAGCACAGACGGGUGAGGAGCUGGAGCAGAAGCUGCCAUGGGACGAUACUAUACAGUAGUAACUUCUGGAUCAUCCCCAGCUCCUUCACGGAGGUAUUGUAAACCACAGAUCUACCACACAGACUUUUAUGGAAUCUCUUUUUUAAUCCCUUCUGUACUUCCUAGAACAUGGUUAACUUCAAGGUCCUUAAAUAUUUGUUCAAUACAUAAUGAAGGGAAGAUAAGACAGAAGGAAACUGGGUUAUUUACAUAGAUCCCACAAGUAAAUGUGCAUGGCUGACUGCCCACGGCACUAAAACCUAUUUUGCCAAGAGGAAGAGAAUAUUUGUCUUCAAAUCAAUCUUCUCAAAUAGUCCAGGAAGACAUUUAUUUCCAUUUAAGUCACGUGUAAGUUCAUCUGAGCAGGUACUGAGGAAACCUUUGGGGUGAAGACACUAGAAUGAGGCUCCUGGCCUUGGGAUCUUCUGCCAGCCCCUGAAUAACACUAUACACAUGCUAAUCAUAAAAAAGCACGAGAGACCACAUGGUCUUCAGGCACUAUAUGGGAGCAUCUGAACCCUGCCCAGCCACUGCCUGGCAUUGCCCAUUCUCGAGAAUGCAUUUCCAAGCUUACCCAAUGCUUUUAUUUCUCUCGAGAGUUAAAUGGGGCUGGAGCCUUAUGGGCCAAAAGAAUCUAAGAAGCAAGUUAUCCCCAUCCCCAUCUCUCUUAUUUCCCACCGGGUCUUAAGUAAUCUAGGCCACUACUAAACUGAGGGAGGAGGUUACUGAGGAGGAUGGCCUUGAACUUCUGAUCCUCCGUCCGCCUGAGGGCUGUGAUUACAGGUGCGUACCACCAAGCAUGGUUUCUGUGGUGCUCAGUACUGAACCCAGGCCUCUGUGUCUGUGUAACCAGCGGAUACACAGGUCCAGCCCCUAGGAAGAAAUUCAGGAGACACAGAGCUGGGCGUGGUAGCACACGCCUUUAAUCCCAGCACUAAGGAGGCAGAGGCAGGUGGAUCUCAGUGAAUUGGAGGCUAGCGUGGUCUAGGGAUGGAGAGAAACCUUUUUCUGUCUUUAAAGAGGAGGAAGCCAUCAACGACCACAGUGAGGACACUGGGCUUUGAGGCCUUCGGCUCCCUACCUCACAUCUCCUGACAGCUUCGGGUGGAUAUGUCUGGUUUUCCCAUCUUAAACUAAACCAAAAUGGCCUUUAUCCUUACUCUUCCCCUGCAUGUCCCCAGUGUGUGAAGAAGGGAACAUACUGAGAGUUUUCUUGUGGCCUGCUUCACUCUUCAUUUUACUGGGGGUGGCCUUUGCCCCAUUUAACCUAAGAGCCCAGAUGAUGCCGUUGACUUCAGCCCUACCACAUCCACUGUCCUGUUUUCCCUUCUCCCCUUGCUGGUCAGCCUGAGCCCCAGGCCUUUCCACCUCCCACCCACACUUCCUCAUUCUUCUUCCCCUUUGCAGUUCCUAAAGUCAACACAAAGGGUGCAGCUUUCCACACCUUUCUGCUGUGUGGGCACAAGUGUAUCUAUAACUCACAGGCGUGUACCUUUAUAUGUUUGCUUUGUUUUAAGCCCUGUCUACCUUAACUUUACAAUAUUGGGGGGGGGGCAAAGUAUUGCUAUAUGUUGCCCAUAUUGGCUUUGAACUCCACAUCCUCCUGCCUCAGCUUCCUUCCUGAGUUUUAGCAUCCUACACCCAGCUAUGUUUGUCUUCAUCACAGUGUUCCUUACGUGGUCUGUACGUCAGAAGAUAUUUUGCUAGCUCUGUAAUUUUUAAUUUUUAUAAAUGGGUGGAUAUUCAAUAAAACUUGAGGGUUUUUUUUCUACAUUAAACAAACAGUUGCAGUUUUAGAUGUUAGAAAAUAAAGCUAGAUUUUGCAUCCAGGCACUUUAAGGGCAGAAGGCAGAAUGCUGCAAAUGUACUUCUCAGCUCAAUGUAAGGCAAGGCUGCAUAAAUCUUCUGGUGCCUGGCCUCUCUGCGGAGCCAUGUCAGUAAGCGGCUGCCUAAAAGCAGUGCCACUGACUUCAGCCUUUGCACUGGGUCUAAAUGUCAAGUUUUUAAAAUUUCCUUCACUGCUAAGUAAGAGACACGGACAAUCCCGUCUGCUUCCGAGCCACUCUGAAAGGAGCGCCAGCAGUGCCUCUCAGCAGUCCUGGACACCUUCCCUGAACUGAAGGAUCUGCCACGUUCUUCCUCCCCGGCAAUGUUAACAGACAGCUAUAGCUGAUGGCUGGCCUUGGUGGGCCCUGCUAGACUCUGGCAGUUCACUGAGAAGGUCACCGAGGGUCACCCAGGGUCUGCUACCCCAGUCAUCAGUGUUACUCUUGGUCCUGUCCUUUUAUUGCUCACCACUUAGUUACUGUAACAAGUGUAACAGAUUCUAACAAGUAUCUUCAGGUGCCAAUCUUGGCCCAGGUUUUGUUUUUAUUUUUUUUUCUUUUGUCUGCUUUACACAAACUACAGUUAUCUGGAAAGAGGAACCUCGACUGAGAAAAUGUUUCCAUCAGACUGGCCUAUAAGCAAGUCUGCAGGGCCUGGGGUGCAGAAAAACAAACUGAGCAAGUCACGAGGAACAAGCCAACAAGCAGGGCUCACUCCAUGGCUUCUGCUUUAGUCUCUGUCUCCAGGAUCCCACUUAAGAGUUCCUACCCUGGGGGGCUGGGGAUUUAGCUCAGUGGUAGAGCGCUUACCUAGGAAGCGCAAGGCCCUGGGUUCAGUCCCCAGCUCUGAAAAAAAGAACCAAAAAAAAAAAAAAAAAAAAAAAAAAAGAGUUCCUACCCUGACCUCCUUGACUUGGCACUGUGAUGUGGAAGCUUUAGCUAAGCCAGACCUCUCCUCUGCAGGCCUCACAGCAGCACAUGCCCUCCCUGACAAGACAGGAGCAGCAGCAGUCCAGAGACCUCAGCCCAUGUGACUGCCUCUCUGCUGAAGGGAAAUGUGCACACAUUGGAUCCCUGUAUUUGAGCAGCAGGCUUGAACCAGAUGAGCUCUUAUUCUAACUCAAAACUAACAGAUUAGUGGCAAAACAAUGGAACAAGUCAGCCCAUGGAGGCAGUGACCAUCCUAGCACAUGGGAAGCUGAGACAAGAGGAGACAUGAUCAAGGUUAAGCCUUGCUACAGAGCAAGACCCUGGUCUCCAAACAAUAUAAAACAAACCAUCAAAGCACCAGAGAAACACUGACGUCCCCAAAGAAGGGGACACAGGAAGGGGAAAGGACAGAACUUGAUAGGAACCUUUCUAUGGACAAGACGACCAAAAAGUUGAAUAAAAUGAUUAUCUCGAAUCUGUGAUAAAGGGUCAAGGGUCAAGGACAAAGGCGGCACCUUUCUCAGCAGUGGCUGAGCUCAACCCAAGGGGUGGCAGCAACAGCCCUUGAAUGCAGGGGACUGUGUUGGUUUACAUUGAGAGGAAGACAUUUUAUGCUUUUAAGUAUUUGAAACAAAAUUAAAUGCCAUGAAAAUUAUAUAGCCUCCUGACUCUUUCACUGUUCACAAAUAGUUGGGGAAUACAGUCAGGAUUCCCAACAGCCACUGUAUGUUAAAUGGCAGAACCGAGUGGUUCAAACUAAGACCAUGUGACCCUCCCAGCCCAACACACGGCCACCCUUCCCCUUUACAGAAAGUUUGCUGACCUAGCUAAGUCAAGAUUUACCAUAGCAGCUUUCCCUGGGCACACGGCUGGUCUCUGUCCCCAAUGGAGAGGAUGGUGGCUAGAUCUGGGGCUCCCUUGCCCCAGCAGGCAGGAAGAGAAGAGUGCCCACUAGUGCCAUCUGCAGCCCAGAAAAGGAAUGGCAGGCAGGGAACUGGGCUGUUGGGGAAGUCAGUCAUCUGGCAGAUUCUAAAUAACUAUGGCCUCACUCAUGCCAGUGGGGAACACAAGCUUAGCUUUUAUGGAGCACUUUUUAAACUGACAGAACAGAACCACAACUACAAAUCCUUCUUCCCACAUUUCUGUAUGGAGGGAUGCACCCCAAAUAGAAGAGAUGUUCCCAACAUUCCCAUCUGCUGCCCGGGCACAGAAUGAAGACAAGCCACAUUGUCACAAGAAUGAUAGGGUGGCAUGUCUGUCCUUCUGAAGGGAAAGUCACCCAGAAGCUUGCCAUGUGAGCCCUGCCUGUAGCCUCCAGGUUACUGUCCUCUAGACCACCCCACUGAGACUCUGCAUGUCAACUAACUUCUGAGGAUGAGGGGGCAGGUGUGUCAUAGCCAACAAACCUACCACAAAAAAAUAAACAGGGGAUGUAAAGUGGUUGGUUCUGCCAGCUCCAAACCACACCGGGACCCCUUAGUGCAGAGCCUAUGUGCCAUGACUCCUGUCACCAGAGACAGCGGAGGGCUCACAACCGUUCAGAGCAAAGACUCGGAAAGAAGAACUGCUCCUCACCUUCCCUAGGAUCGAGAGGAGGUCAAACCUGUGACCUGUGCACGUGUCCUGAGGUCUGUGUGCACGCCCCAGUGUGGACUGGGCUUACACCCCGGCUAGGUGAAGACUGAAGGACGGUGUCCUGAGGCUUAAGGUUAGGCGAGCCCAGCUAUGGCUGGAGCACUGCAAGAUGCCAGGCACCCGAGAGAGGCCUCAUGUGAGGGCUACAGAGCCACCACACACUGCAUCUCCACCAACCCCAGAACUUCAAGGAAAGGCACGGAGGCAGGAAGACACCACUUCUACCCAAGUGGUCAGACUCGGAAGGGACACACAAGAGUAUGACAGGGCUUUCGGUGUCAUCUCAAGAGCCUUCAACUUACUUCAUCAUCUUCAUCCUCGUCAUCAUCGGAUUCAAGAACACCAUCCAGUAAAUCUUCUAUGAAGAAAAAUAAGUUAAUCAGAAAAACCACAAAGCUUGUCACUUGGUCACUGAGCGUCAUCCAGGGCACCCAUGUGAGCAUCAUAUGUCAUGCUGCUGACCACACGCCGCCUCUCCUGACUGCUCCUGACCACUGCCCUUCACACUCCUGAUCACUCACUGGUACACACGUUUACUCUCUUGGCCACCCCGAAUCAGCCACAGUUUGCUACCACUCUUAGCGAUCCAGACACACUCUGUUUUUAGCAGUUCAUAUUUACUCAUAUUCUUAUAAACACAACAUUGGAAGGAGCUGCAGUGCAGGCGAAUGAAGCAGUGGACUCCUAGGAAGCCUGCUAGCUUCUACAACAGUGCUCUUUCACAUAAUCCUCUUGGCAGCUUUGUGGACCAUCGCUCCUCACUCACGGGUAACAAGUGGAGGACAGAGGACCCAGGGACCUGUUUGUGGUUCUGCUUUCUAAACCCCAUUGUUCUAACUUAAAGAUGUAGAUCUGGGUAAGGAGCUAACAUGAGGGUACCCUUACAUGAGCUUUAAUGGGAUGGAGGGGUGCAGGGCGACAGAUACAGAGACAGAUACAGAGACUGACACAUAAGGGCCAUGAGCUGGUCUUGUGAAGGAAGAGAAUACUAGGAAAGAUAUAUAGCUUACACUAGAAAUGCUAUGGUGGGGCUUUGAAGGGAGAGAAAGAGCCCUUCCUUCAAAACUGGGUCAGAGCUACACUAGGAGAGACGGCUACCGUGCACAGCAUGACUGAGCCUGGAAGGAAGAACAGAAAAAUCCCCUGAACCAAGACGGUUUCUGACUCAGAGCUUUUUGGGGGUUGAGGGUGUCAGAAGUUUCACACCGUGUAACUUGCGACCUAGCCUUCAAGCAAAGGGAGUAAGAGCAGGCACUAGCACAAGGUAGGAGCAUAAAUUUAUCAUGCAGCUGCAAGGGCUUGCCUUUACACUAAGGCUGUGUGCUUAAAAUGGUCAGUGGUGUGUGUGUGUGUGUGUGUGUGUGUGUGUGUGUGUGCGCGCGCGCGCGUGCGCGCGCACUGUCAGUUCUUCACUGGGGGCUGGAGGGCAUAGCCUGAUUCUUCCAAGCUCCCUUAUCUGGUCUCUUACAGUAGACAGCCUAAAGUGGCAGGUCUGUGAUAUAACACAGGGUGGGCACAGCGGUGUUCUAAAAGGCUGAGGCUCAUUACUAGCUCGGUGGAGUUUGCACAUAUGCACAAGUCCAUAGUAUUCAGAAGCAGUGACUGAGCCAUUCCCUGACCUGGCAAGUGGGGUCAUACUGCUUACUUCCUUGGGCCCUGAGAAAGGAAGAAGGGAAGAACUUGGAGAAUUUUACAGCACGCAGAACAAGCACUUGGACCAGGUACACAGUAGACAUCACCCAAAUAUGAGUUACAUUCUCCUCCAUGAAGCCUUCUCUGAGCCAUCGUCUCUCCCUUGGCAUUGCAUCUAGGCUGCCAACAGUACUCCCCCUGUGGAAGACCCUAUUCCCAGUAAAGAGAUGGCUACUGACUUGUUGGGAAGCCCCCUGGGAAGCUAAUCACCAAACUGAACUAAGAGUGCUUAGGAGAUAAGUAAAGCUCACUUCUCACUCUGAAGACUGAUGGCUAAUCUUGACUGUCAUGAGAUUUAGAAUCACCAUGGACACAUAUCUCUGGAAGGUCUGUGAGGGAGUUUCUAAAUUGCAAUAACUGGGUAGGAAGUCAUACUUUAAAUGUGGGCAGUCUUAUUUCACAGGCCGAAUUCUUGAAUGAAAAGAGAAGGCAAGCCAAGUAACAGCAUUCAGCUCUCUCUGCUUCUGACUGCAGGUCAAUGGGGCUAGCUCCCUCAAGCUCAUGCUGCGGUGAUACUGUUUCUUCAAACUGCAAACCAAACCCUCCCUCCUCCUUACAUGCUUCUGCCAGGUAUCUCACCAGAGCAACAAAAGGUACCUAAUACAGGACACUGGCUAAGAUGAUUGGCAGGUAAGAUCGCACCUGAGGGCAAGUCUGGCAUGGAUGCGUAAGGGGAGGUGUGACACAGUUCCUGCCCCUGGAAUAUCGACAGGCCAUUGAUUCCCACAUGUGCUGAUGGUUGCUGUUGCCCUGGAGCUGAUCUGCUAUCUUUUCUAUUUUACUUUCAAUCUCUUUCUGGGGAAUAUACUUCCGCCAUUACUCAGAGGUAAUAAACGAAACAGAUGUGGUUCUCAAGAAUGAGGAAUGGAGGUGGUCAUGAGGCUGUGGAGGAUGAGGAACAGGCCUUCUGCUUCGCCUUUAAGGUCAUAGGACAGGAUCUAAACAACAGAACCACAAAGGCCAUAAAAGCCUACACAUGGUCCUUUGUAUAAAUUGCUCACUUUGAAACCUUGAACUUGGAACUAUAUGAGGAGACGCAAGUACCCUCUCAUGCAAUGACUGCUGCUUUAAUUAGGCAGGGUGAAGGGGGACAUCAAAGACUGUUAGAGAAGUCUCGGGGAGAAAAGGCAUGGAUAGGAAAAGAAGGAAUCUAUAGAAAACAAGCACAUGAUAGAUGUUCUUAUCUUACAGGAGGGAGGCUUGUAUAUGACCUAGAAACAGAGGUCAUUAGCAGGAGAGUAUAGGAGGCUAGGAUAGAAAAUAAGGAUUAGAGAAUUAAAAGAUCAUGGGCAAGCACAUGAAAAGUUAGUACUCCGUCCUCCUCGCUCCUUGAAGGAUCGGAGAUGACAAUACCUACUUUAUUUGUGUAAGUUUUAAAACUUUGUAAGAAAUUAUUUUAACCUUAGUAGUCUGUCACCUUUAUGUUUUACAUGAAAGGUUACUAUAGAGUAGCAGGAAACCGCAGGAGCUGUGCCCAGCUACCUGUGAAGAAAGUGUGCGUGAACCUAUAAGGAAGUGUGCUUUGGCUUUGUGUUUAGUGUCUGUUUGAAGGAGGCAGGGGUUGGGACUAAUGAUCUGGGAUUCAUAAAAUUUAUGUAAAUUUAAGGAUUUCUAAAAAAAUAUUAACAAUGGUCAAAGCCUUGAUGAUGUGGCUUUAGUAAAUACAAUACCGGUCAGGCUCUCUGGUCAGAAGAUGGUGAGAAUCCCUGGGCAAGGAGAGCCCUGAGCUUGUACCCACUACUGACUGCAGUCAUUAUGGAAUCAGCGCCGCUCCCAUCCCCCUUUCUCAGGACCCUCCCCAUGCUGAGGACGGACCUCAGCACCUGAGCAUGGAAGACCUUCCCUGAACAUAGCGGGCCCAUCAAGUAGGCUGGGGACCCAGGCGGGGAAAAGACGAGCAAAAGCCAGCCACGUGUACAAACUCCGUCCUUUCCAAGCAAGGUGUCUAUGGCUGCUCUAGUUCCUGCAGUGUGAACUCACACCAAUGGCUCCAGAAGUUUCCAGGCCUUUAGCCUUAGAUUGGGGCCUUUCUUGUUUGGAGGAUUCCAGUUUGUGGACUGAACAACUCUCAGGCUCUCUGCCUCUGUAGUGGGUGGACAAUUAGUAGGGACAACCUAUCUUCAAUUGUGUGAGCCAAGCUAAUAAACCUUGCACUUGGGUGGGUUUUAAUCAUCUAACACGCUUUCUCUGCCCAUGGACAGCACGCUCCAGUCCACCGUGAGAAGAUGCCUUUCACGCUGCACGGUGGCUGUCACCAAUUACAUAUUCCUUAUGUUCACAUUUGUUAAGGCCCCUGAGCUCAGCACUCCUUACAUUGACUCCCCAGCCCAGUUUCCAAUCUCCAAAUCCUAUAAUCUCUCAACUUGUUAGCUCACACAUCCUGACUACCCAGAACCCUCCAGACCCAUGACCAGGCCUCAGCUGGUCCUCCUUCCUCCUCCUUCUUCUCCCUCCUCCUUUUCCCUUCUCCCCGCUCCCUUCUCUCCCCUCCCUCCUCCUCCUUCUCAUGGGACAACCAUUUCUCCCAGUGCUCCUGAGCCAGUGCAGGCCUUACAAAGGUCUCCCCUUGGUAACUAGCAGGGCCUGAAGCUAGGAACCUGCUCCGCUGGUGUACUGGCUGGUGUCUGACCUUUCUCUCAUGAUUGCGCUGGCUACCCUCAUGGAUAGCUGGAGUUGUGGCCUGAAUCUGAGUUGGGACAAACCUCCCUACUGUUGUUGGCGGAACACUCUGCAUGUUUCUGUACCAGGCUGAAAUUUCCCUUUGGGCUUCACCAGUGUUCUACCUUGCUGGGAUAACCUGAGAAUUUCAAAGCUCCCCUGGUCCCCAGCCAGGAUGAUGAUGUUAGUAUGCAAAGCCCUUACGGGGAACCAUGAGUGGAAGAUGGCUACCAGUGGGCAUUUCACAGGUGCACUGGGUGAACGGCUCACUUGUGAGGAGACAUGCGAUACUCUUGUCAUUGUUGUGUGCUGAAUGGAGCUGUGCACUUGAACUGCUGCCAGGGAAGGCAUGGGGAGAGAUCGGUAAUAAAUUUGGUCCCCAGAUGUUGGGAGUACCAGGGUCCCGUGUCAGGAGUCCACAGAAAGAGCUAGGGGAUUCCUUAUCUCUCUCACAGGGCUUCUUCCCUCGUUCUCUCGCCAGAUGUGUAUCAUGGCCAUGGAGGAGGCUGCGAAGAAAGGGGCCAAGCUGCCUGCUGCCAGGUGGCACAGACACGUUUUUCUGGAACGGUGACGUGGUGACAUUUCUACAGGGCACUAGAAGGACUGGCACCUGCCUCCCUAACUGGCCAUAGGACCUGGGAAAGUUGGCCUUAUCAUCCUUAUCAGUGGGGCAGGAUUUAAGAGGGGACAGGAGGGGCUCGUAAAGGGAUCUUACAAGGGUAGAGAAGGCUUCAGUAAUUGCCUCCAACUCCUUUUUGUUGACCAUACACCUCUCGUGUGAUAAGAGAUCUCUAUUAUGAUAAGACAUGGUAAUCUUGGACAACCUGGCCUUGACUACUUGUCUACACACGGGGGAGGAUAUACACGCACAUGUAUAUGUAUGUACACGUGGAGGUCGGGGGGUCAACCUUGCAUGUCAUUCGACAGGAGCUGUCUAUCUUGUUGGGACAGUGUCUUUCUCUUGGAUCUGCGCUGAGGGACCAGUGAGCCUCAGGGGUCUGCCUGUUUCCAACUGUCCAGUUCUGGGAUUACAAGUGUGUGUCACCCUGCCUGGCUUGUUUUACAUGGGUGCUAGUGAUCGAACUCAUGUCCUUAAUCGUACAUGGCAAGUACUUCACUGAUAGAGCUAUCUCCCUCACUCUAUCAGCCCACUGUGUGUGUGUGUGUGUGUAUACUGUGUAUGUGUGUGUGUGUAUACAGUGUGUGUGUGUGUGUGUGUGUGUGUGUGUGUGGUGUGCAGGGGCAGCAUGCAUGUGUGUGACAUGUGUAUGUAAGUGUGUGUAAUGUGUGUGACAUGUGUGUGUAUAUGUCUGUGGGUGAUGUGUAUGAGUGUGUGUGUGUGGUGUGGAGGAGGCAGUGUGUAUGUGUGUGUGACAUGUGUGUGUGUAUAUGUGCGUGUGUGUGACAUGUGUAUAUGUGUGUGUGAGACAUGUGUGUAUGUGACGUGUGUAUGUGUGUGUGAGACAUGAGUGUAUGUGAGUGUGUAUAUGUGUGUGUGUGUGUGUUUGGUACUAGAUACUGACCUGGGGCCGGCCCUGUAUGGGUCAAACAGUCCUACUGAACUUUCAUGUGCUGAACUUGGCUCCCUGCUUUCUUUGAAGGUUUCUUCUCUAUUUUUUGAAAUCGAGUCUUGCUAUGUAGUCUAGGCCGGCCUUAAACUCUGUAUAGACUAGGCUGGCCCUGAACUCAUGAUGGCUCAGCCUCUCCUCUAGAGCUGGGAUUACAAGCGCACUAUCAUAUCUGACUCAAGCCUCCUGAACGAUACCCAAGGCAGCAAUCACAACCCUCUGUGAGAAAGCCUAUACAUCUUUUUGUCAUACGUGACCAAUUCAAAGGGUGAGACAGAGACAAGACUGACCGGAAUUCAGCUGCUUGAUGAUAAACUCUAUCUGGCGGAUCAUUUCGGCAUUGCCUUCUUUGAUGAAGCAUCGAAGAAUGUCCUCCAUUCCCUAGGCCGUGAAAAGAGCAAACGCAUCAGGGUGAGGAUGUGAGGGACCACUUUCAGUGAUGCAGUUUCAUCUACUACCAAAGGUACUUUUUUUCUUAUUUUUGGAAAAGGUUUUUUAAAAUAAAAAUUAUCUGCUUGGUAUUAAACAUUCAUUUUAAAACAGCGAAAAAUUGUUUUCUUCUUGGUUGACUAUCCUGACUUAAUUAUAACAUAAUACACUCAGAAAAAGACCCAGAAGAGAUCACUGGAUUGCACUGGAUGCCUGUAUGCCAGCACUCAGGGUGCAUUUACACCAUUGCCUUUAGUGUGGGAAUGUACUUUGGGGAGAGGAUUUCUUUUCUAUGUUUCCCCUAAGUUUAUACACACGGCCCUCUGAAUUUAGGGUCCUUUAUGAUCUUUGAAAAGCUGAACCACAUGUUUUAAACAAAUAGAAGCUUUCUUCAACUAGUUGAGAUUCCUAUCCUAUCAGAAGAAAGAUGGCGGGACCAGGGAGUUGGCCAGGCAGGGGGAAAGCACCGUCUGCGCAGGCUGGGUGACCUGACUGCAGCCCCUGAGCCCACGGGAAAAGCCAGGUGUGGCCAGCGUGUACGUGAACAACAGGCGGCAGGACUGUAAGGCUGGAGCAGGAAGGAAAGCAGCAGAAACAAGAGACGCUGCCUCAAAACAAGGAGGGAGAACCAACGCCUAAAGACUUGACUGUGUGCAUGCUGCCCCACCACCCAAAUAAACACACAUUUCUGUGGUUUGGUGGGCAGAGUCUUACAAUACAGCCUGGCUGGCCUUGAAUGUAAAUGAGAUCUGCCUGCCUCUGUCUCCCAAGUGUUGGGAUUAAAGGCAUGGGCCACUAUCUGGCCUACUUAAAGAUUUAAAGACGGAGUGAUAAGGUAGGAGAGAGUCUGUUAAGAGCCCUUACUCAUCUUACAGAGGACCCAGGUUUGAGGGCCAGCAUGGCAGCUCACAGUUGUCUAUAACUAACUCCAGGGUGUCUUAUGCUUUCUUCUGGCUUCCCUGGGCACUAGGUAUACAAACGGUACACACACAUACAUGCGGGUGAAGCAUCCACACACAUAAAACUACACAAAAUGAUAGUUAUUAUACUGUGCACUGUAACACAAGGACACCAGAAUUUUCCACUCUAAGAGGACUAAAGCAAACUUAGAAGUAAGAAAUUAACAUAAGCACAGUGCAACCCCUCUCUGUCCUCCUUCCCCACAGCACUGGAAUGUGUGCAUGUACUGUGCUGGAUCAAACAAGGUUAUCUUGGCACCAAGAGGGGACGCAUAUCUAAAAAUGAACCCAAAACAGAACAACUGGCGUUCAGAAAGGCUGGCUCACUAGCAGGCAAAACACUCAUCAAAAUGCCUAACACUUGCCCUUGAGUUUGUGGUGACCUGAGCUAGUAUGGUCCUUAUUGUAUUUUUAUUUAUUUACUUACUUAUUACUUAUUUUGGAGACAAGGUCUCAGUAUGCAGCCCUGGCUGGCCUGGGACUCACUAUAGAUACACCUGCCUGUCUCCUAAGUGCUGGGAUUAAAGUUGAGAUCCAUCAUGCCUAGCUAUGUUCUCUUUACAAAUAGCCUGGUCUGAGGCAAUAAUAGUUCUAACGGACUCAAAGGUAGUCCAUAUAGCUUGGAUCACAUGGAGUUUGGACUGUGAUUCUAGCUCCCUGAGUCAGGCCCCAUGCUACCUCACUCAAAUUGCUCAACUCUUCCCAAAGACAAGCUAUAUUACUAGGACUACUUAUGCAGAUGUCUGUGUCUGUCAAAAUGUAAAUCCUGUAUGCAACUGUAUAUAAGCUGUGCACUUCAUUUUUGCAAGUCAGACCUAAUCAAUGGCAUCUUCUAGGGGAUGCCACAGUGGGUGAGUGAGUGGGGGGGGAUGGGUGUAGCUCAUGCCAGAGAGCACAGUUGAAGCCCUGGAGUAAAGGAGGUAUUCCCAUGGGUACAGUGAGAAGACCUGAGGGCUGGACCAGAACCUUGGAGGACAGCAUUCCAUAGGAGGAUGAGACAGAAGCAUAGACUGAGUAGACCACUGAGGAAUAGUCUGGAACAGAGGAGACUGAUGGGUGUCUUGGAGGCAAGCACAGAGUGUUUCAAAGGAUUGAGAGACCAUGGCAGCUCUUGUGGGGCCAGUCAGACAUCUGGGCUCAUCCCAUAGUCCUCCACCACAGUCUGCCUUAGUCCUUGGCUGCCAGAAGGGCUAACAGUUCUGUCUCAUGCAGCGGUCUCCUCCCCACUUCCCCACGAGGGUGAGUUAGGGGUCUCUAUCAUUAGGGUACAGUCAGGUGCUAGACCCCAACAUGCCAUUAACCACAAUGGCUACUGAGAAUUUAGGUACGGCCAGAGACAAAGAACUCUUACAACUCUCUCUCUCUCUCUCUCUCUCUCUCUCUCUCUCUCUCUCUCUCUCUCUCUCUUUUUGCAGAGGCAAUUCUGUGAUCUGCUCAUAUCUUUAUAGAUCACUUGAGUUCAAUUGAUGCCUAUCCUUACAUCUCCGGCUUAGUGAGAGCGUGGAAAGCAAACAUCUCAGCCCGUGUAGUUGGGGGAUUGCUUGGACGCCUCACAGAAAACACGCCAGUGAAAAAUCUCACAUAUAGCUUUUAAAACCACAUAUAGAAGGUAAUGUUUAAUCUAAAUUAUAGAACUGAGAAAGCAUAAAAAAUAACAGUAUCCUCUGGGUGUGGCAGCACAUGUCACCCUGUAAUCCUAGCAUUCAGGAGGCCAAGACUGGAGGACCAAAGGCUCUAGUCUUCCCUGGGCUAGAGGGAGACCCUGCCUCCAAAAAUAAACAAAACCUCAUAUUUCAUCCUAAAAGCAAUAGCUGGGCACUUCAGAUAACCGUGGACAAUCAUGGGGUUGGGAAGGACAGGGGCUCAUCACUUGCCACUCAGAUGCCUCUGAGGACACAGUAUGCCAAGCAGCAGAAGAGAGGAACUUAGCCCAGCUACAGUUAAACAGUGAAAACAAAGGCCAAGUCUACUCUAGUGGAAAUGCACAGCCAGAAACGUUUGCAAUUUCUACAUUUUGGAAUAUCUGCAUAUACAUAAUAAGAGGUAUCUUAGGGAUGGGACCCAUGUCUAAACAAAAUUUAUGUUUCUGUUUCAUGUGUCUUCAAUAUGUAGCCUCAAGAUAAUUUACAUAUGAUAUCUAU